rnacentral:rRNA from 1 species
CGGCGGACGGGUGGGUAACGCGUGGGUAACCUGCCUCAUACAGGGGGAUAACAGUUGGAAACGGCUGCUAAUACCGCAUAAGCGCACAGUACCGCAUGGUACGGUGUGAAAAGCUCCGGUGGUAUGAGAUGGACCCGCGUCUGAUUAGGUAGUUGGUGGGGUAACGGCCUACCAAGCCGACGAUCAGUAGCCGACCUGAGAGGGUGACCGGCCACAUUGGGACUGAGACACGGCCCAA